rnacentral:rRNA from 1 species
ACGCUCGACACCUACGGGAGGAGCAGUGGGGAAUAUUGCACAAUGGGGGAAACCCUGAUGCAGCGACGCCGCGUGAAGGAUGAAGUAUUUCGGUAUGUAAACUUCUAUCAGCAGGGAAGAAAGUGACGGUACCUGACUAAGAAGCCCCGGCUAACUACGCGCUAGCAGCCGCGGUAAUCUGAGCGGGCUGGCAAGGC